rnacentral:rRNA from 1 species
GACGUAGGGCGCGAGCGUUGUCCGGAUUUAUUGGGCGUAAAGAGCUCGUAGGCGGCUUGUUGCGUCAGCUGUGAAAACCCGCAGCUCAACUGUGGGCUUGCAGCUGAUACGGGCAGGCUUGAGUUCGGUAGGGGAGACUGGAAUUCCUGGUGUAGCGGUGAAAUGCGCGGAUAUCAGGAGGAACACCGGUGGCGAAGGCGGAUCUCUGGGCCAUUACUGACGCUGAGGAGCGAAAGCGUGGGGAGCGAACAGG